rnacentral:rRNA from 1 species
UACGAAGGGGGCUAGCGUUGUCCGGAAUUAUUGGGCGUAAAGAGCUCGUAGGCGGUCUGUCGCGUCGGAUGUGAAAAUCCAGGGCUCAACCCUGGACCUGCAUUCGAUACGGGCAGACUAGAGUUCGGCAGGGGAGACUGGAAUUCCUGGUGUAGCGGUGAAAUGCGCAGAUAUCAGGAGGAACACCGGUGGCGAAGGCGGGUCUCUGGGCCGAUACUGACGCUGAGGAGCGAAAGCGUGGGGAGCAAACAGG